UUUCAAUUUGGUUCAGGCUGAACAUCUUUCCUGAGUGAAACUUGGCUUAAAAGGAAAGCGCUAAAACAAGUCACUGUACCAGCUCAAAUUCAAAGAGUAAGGAAAGAUCCUCCACCUCUAAAAGAAACAUCUGCAACAUUACUCUGCAAAGAAAAUGGACCUAAGGAAGCACAAAUAAUUGUGCUUUCCCAAUCUCUCAUAAAAAGCCUUACAUAUUUGUAAAGAAAGUAUUAACAACCUUCUCAGCAACUUGCUGCUCCUAGGUUUUCCUUAAAGAAUCAAGGGAUUUUUGUCUGUAUCAUCAUAACAUUAAAAAUAAUUUAUUAAUGAA